UCGCAUCGUCGGAACGUGCGCUCGAAC
rnacentral:sRNA from 1 species